CCUGGCCUGGGCACCGCGGGGGGAGUGCUGCGCCCCCGCCCCGCGUCCUGCGCGCGCGCGCGCACGCGCUGCCCCAGCGCCCGCCACCAAGGGGGCCUGCGGGAGGGGCGCCCGCGGCCUCGGCGCCCCCUGGCUGCCCGGCGAGGCCCCUCCGUCGCUUCAGCGCUGGCCAGGGACGGAUUAGGAAGCCCGGGCGCAGAGACCAGGCUGGAGGGUCAAGGUCACUCAGCGGGCGCGGGGAGGAUCCCAGGAAAAGCGGCUGGGGCCUGGAGCGACCUUAGGCCGGUGCGCGUCGUCUGGGGGAACUGAAGUCAGCACGGCUGGUCACUCCCGCCUUGCCCAGGUUAUCUUCCAGUGGCUUGGCCCAGGGUAAGCCCAGAGGGAGCCUGGAGCUGGGAUGCGCUGUAUGUGACCACAAGGGACUGAAGAUGAGGACAGUGAACCCAACACCCUCGUCUUUUGGGUCAUCCAGGCUGCUAAGGACAGAAAUCAUUUCCUUCACUGAGGUCUUUGAUCAGCAGAGUAACCUCUUAGAGUCCUCCAAGCCUUCUGGAACCCCCACAAUAAAGCCCUAGAGUUGGGAUUUCAGGUGCCCUGGCAAGCUGGAGCAGGGACAACUGGGACGCAGGGAGGUCCUCCUUUCGGACACGGGCAGAUCUGUAGCCCAGCCUUGCAGGCCCUCAUGUUGACCUUGGCCCAGCUCCCAUGUCACCGCCUCCAGGAAGGAGUCUCUAAUCUCAAGCUGGUCAGCGGCCUGGCUGGGCCCCCGCAGGCCCACAGUACCCCUGCUCAGUCUGCUUUGCAGAGAACUGGGUAAAGAAGAAAACACGACAGGAGACACGCUCCUCUUCCUGCCUGGCCCCUGAAUGGUUCAGCCCCAGGGCUGGGGCCACCUAUAUAA